CCCCGUGUUCUGGUUGAGGCUGAUCCACUUCUGGCUUGACUCUACUCUAUAGAUCCUGUGCUUUACGUUUCUUGGGAUGAGAUACUCCAUAGCCUAAAUGCAUCUAACUAUGAGGUAUUGUGUGAAUUGUGAAAGGAGAAAUGCAACUGACUACAUCAAACUAAAAAGCUUCUGCACAGCAAGGAAACCAUGAACA